rnacentral:rRNA from 1 species
GAUGAACGCUGGCGGCGUGCCUAAUACAUGCAAGUCGAGCGAACAGACGAGGAGCUUGCUCCUCUGACGUUAGCGGCGGACGGGUGAGUAACACGUGGAUAACCUACCUUUAAGACUGGGAUAACUUCGGGAAACCGGAGCUAAUACCGGAUAACAUGUUGAACCGCAUGGUUCAACAGUGAAAGACGGUCUUGCUGUCGCUUAUAGAUGGAUCCGCGCCGCAUUAGCUAGUUGGUAAGGUAACGGCUUACCAAGGCAACGAUGCGUAGCCGACCUGAGAGGGUGAUCGGCCACACUGGAACUGAGACACGGUCCAGACUCCUACGGGAGGCAGCAGUAGGGAAUCUUCCGCAAUGGGCGAAAGCCUGACGGAGCAACGCCGCGUGAGUGAAGAAGGUCUUCGGAUCGUAAAACUCUGUUAUUAGGGAAGAACAAAUGUGUAAGUAACUAUGCACGUCUUGACGGUACCUAAUCAGAAAGCCACGGCUAACUACGUG